CUAGCUUGCUAGUUGCUGACGAGUGGCGGACGGGUGAGUAACGCGUAGGAAUCUACCGAGUAGUGGGGGACAACAGUUGGAAACGACUGCUAAUACCGCAUAAUCCCUGAGGGGGAAAGGAGGGGAUCUGUUUACAGACCUUUCGCUACUUGAUGAGCCUGCGUGAGAUUAGCUAGUUGGUGAGGUAAUGGCUCACCAAGGCGACGAUCUCUAGCUGGUCUGAGAGGAUGAUCAGCCACACUGGAACUGAGACACGGUCCAGACUCCUACGGGAGGCAGCAGUGGGGAAUAUUGCACAAUGGGGGAAACCCUGAUGCAGCCAUGCCGCGUGUGUGAAGAAGGCCUUCGGGUUGUAAAGCACUUUCAGCGAGGAGGAAAGGUUGGUAGUUAAUAACUGCUAGCUGUGACGUUACUCGCAGA
rnacentral:rRNA from 1 species